UACCUGGUUGAUCCUGCCAGUAGUCAUAUGCUUGUCUCAAAGAUUAAGCCAUGCAAGUCUAAGUACGAGCUCUCGUACAGUGAAACUGCGAAUGGCUCAUUAAAUCAGUUAUGGUUCAUUUGAUCGUACAGUUCAC
rnacentral:ncRNA from 1 species